rnacentral:rRNA from 1 species
UACGUAGGGUGCAAGCGUUGUCCGGAAUUAUUGGGCGUAAAGGGCUCGUAGGCGGUCCAUCGCGUCGGGAGUGAAAAGCUGGGGCUCAACCCCAGUCCUGCUUUCGAUACGGGUGGACUAGAGGUAGGCAGGGGAGAACGGAAUUCCUGGUGUAGCGGUGAAAUGCGUAGAUAUCGGAAGGAACACCAGUGGCGAAAGCGGCUUCCUGGUCCAGCACCGACGUCAGGCACGAAAGCGUGGGGAGCAAACAGG